rnacentral:lncRNA from 10 species
AACCCCGUCUCUACUAAAAAUACAAAAAUUAGCCGGGUGUGGUGGUGCACACCUGUAAUCCCAGCUACUUGGAAGCUGAGACAGGAGAAUCACUUGAACUCGGGAGGCAGAGGUUGCGGUGAGCCGAGAUUGUGCCUCUGCACUGCAGCCUGGGCAACAGAGCAAGACUCAGUCUCAAAAAAAAAAAAAAAAAGUAAAAAUCAAAGUUGUAUAAAAAGGGCCAGGCGCGGUGGCUCACGCCUGUAAUCCCAGCACUUUGGGAGGCCGAGGCGAGUGGAUCACGAGGUCAAGAGAUCAAGGUUGUAGUGAGUCGACGUCGCACUCCACUCCAAGCACCACUGCACUCCAGCCUGGCGACACAGCGAGAUUCCAUCUCAAAUAAAUAAAUAAAUAAAGUUAGAUUUAUAAAGUCGGGUCCAAAGAUUGAUUCCACAGAUUUGGGAUGAGCCCCUGAGAAAGCUGCAUUUUCAACUAAUCCAUGCCCCAGCCAAUCCUAAGGCAAGCUAAUGUCCAAGAACCAUUCUCACUGCCUACUACUGUCUGGCAGGGGCUGGGAUAUCAUGGGAGACAAAAAGGCACAGUUCCUAUUCUCAAAGAACUUCUAUUUCAGUGCAAACCACUGUUUAAAAAAGUAAAAAUCGGCCGGGCAUGGUGGCUCAUGCCUGUAAUCCCAGCACUUCAAGAGGCCAAGGCGGGCAAAUCACCUGAGGUCAAGAGUUCGAGACCAGCCUGGCCAACAUGGCGAAACCCUGUCUCUACUAAAUACAAAAAUUAGCUGGGCAUGGUGGCGGGCACCUGUAGUCCCAGCUACUUGGGAGGCUGAGACAGGAGAAUCACUUGAACCUGGGAGGUGGAGGUUGCAGUGAGCCGAGAUCACACCACUACACUCCAGCCUGGGUGACAGAGCAAGACUCUGUCUCAAAAAAAAAAAAAACAAAGUUGUAUAAAAAGGUGAAAGCCACCUGUGUUAGGGUAUACGUUAAGCUGCUAAGAGACCUCAAAAUACAGUGACUCUAACAAAUUAGAAACGUAUUCCUCUCUCCCUUAACAUCGCAGAGAUGGCUGCUAGUCCAAGAAGGCAGGAGAUUCGGCUCCACGUGGUCACCCAGGGACCCAGGGACCCCACCUCCUGCUGCUCCACCAUCCCCAGGGACAGAGCUGGCUUCUCGAACCCUGUCCACGUUCCAGCUCAAAGGGAGUGGGAAAUAGAGGUGGACAACCAGCUUCCCUUCUAACCAUCUGGCCUGGAAGUGUUCCCGUCACAUCAUCCACCUGUAUCUUAUAGGCGAGAACAUAGUCUCGAGGUCACACCUAGCUUCAGUGGAAGCUGGAAAACAUCACCUCUGGCUGGGUGACAUAUGCCCAUCUGGAAUUUUAGGGACUCUAAAACUAAAAAGAAAAGAGGAAUGUGGGCCGGGCAUGACGCCUGUAAUCCCAGCACUUUGGGAGGCCGAGGCGGGUGGAUCACAAGGUCAGGAGUUCGAGACGAGCC